AGAAAAAUUUGGAUAGAGCCAACUGCUGCUACUCAGUUCUGGACGUGUCUAUGACCAGCCAAAGCAUCUGGGCAUGGAGCAGGGAGGAAUGUUUGGGGAGAGGGGUCUUGUUCCUCUGCUGGGGGAGGGACUGGGAUUGCCUAGCUUGUUCUGAGGAAGCAGAGCCCUUCUGGAAGCAGGAGGGCUCCCCAAGCCCCAGCAGCAGCUCUGCCACCUCAAACUGGCCUCUCUGAGCUGCUGGAAAGGAUCCAGAGCAGCAUCCAGACAGGCUCAGGGUUUUUUUUAGCAGGUAUUAAAUGUAUCUACCACCCCAACCCACCAGCACUGGGCACCAGCACUGCCAGAGCAGCAGCCACGGGACCACAGCUCAGCUACAGCUCACUGAGCAAUCCCAGAUGGAAAUUGGGGUUAUUUCCCUGGAGGUAAGGCUGAUGACUUGGGAAGGAUGCAAAGGCUGCAGACAGAAGCUCUUAAAGGCAGCCAAAAGAGUAAGACAGGCUGGUUCCUACAGUCAUGCCAUGGAUGGAUGGAUGCAUUUUCCAGGGUCUAACAUGGAUCAGUUCAGCCCCCUGCUUUGGCUGAAUUCCUGGGUAUUUAAAACUGUGAAUCCUCCCUGUGUCUGUCAGGUGUCAUCAAAAUGGGUUCAGGAAUUCCAGGUGUGGGAUGACAGGCCCUAAGGAUGAGGUCAGUGUGGACAUCACCCAUUCCUAAUUAGGCAUUAGGAAUAUCAACUCUAAUCAUCCCCAGCUGCCUCACAUGAGCUCUCUCAUCCCCUCAUUGGGCUGGGAGUCUGUUUAAGGCUGCUCAUGGUGUGAGCCUGGUUUUUUUCCUGGAUUCCCUGCCUCAUUCUCCUGCACUGCUCCCUGAUCUGCUCAGCAUCCCUCGAGCUGGACUGGCCCUGGAUCUGUGCUGCAUUUCCUUCUCAGGCAGGUGAGCCUGUGUGUGGCACUGGCUUUUGAAGCAGCACCACCAAAGGAGGUGAAACAAAAGACACUCAUUGAGGAGGUGAUGAUGAAGAGAGAAAUGGGGCUGAAGGUGCUUUUUGCUGCCACUCUGCCUCUUGGCUCAUAUGUAAAUUUUGGCCAUGGGAAGAGCUGGACACAAGCCAGGCCUCUGAAGCAGGAAUGAAAUGCUCAAAAAUGAGCAUUCCUGACUUUCUCCAGCCCAGGAGCACAGGAGAGAGCUGGCAGCUAUCAGUGACCUGCACAGGGAACGCCCUGGGAGCAGAGGCAAAGAAGAGGACAUCGAUCAGGUCGGAGGCUGGGCCACCCCGGUACUGCUUGAGAGCAGUCAGAGCUCUGCCAAAGAAGGGAAGAUCCAGGUUACAGGCACAGCAGGAAUUCUCUGGAGACUCCCAAGUGCCCAGAGACAAGCUGUGAGUAAGGACUGAACUCUUCCACAGCUGAACAAUGCUACCCCACAAGACUAAGCCCACACAAUUCCUGCAUCUCCCAACCCUUGCACACACAUCCCUGUGCAGAUCAGGCUUCCACUGCCCAUUGUCCCUGUUUGGUACAGCCAGAUGUGCUUUUUUGGGAUGUUUAUCCAGCAAGGAGCUGUUCACUCCUCCUGCCAGGAUGGAAAAGGCCCCACACAAAACCCAGAGUGUUCCAGAGGCAAUGCAACGGGACCAAAACACAGCCUGGAGGAGGAAAUGGAAGAGCAGGACCAGCCAGCAGGUGGGUAAACUGAGGCUGUUGUGAGGCUCUAGAAUGACAAAUCCAAACUGGGAAGGGACUGGGAAGAGCUUUUCCAGGCUCAGCUUGUCACUCCUCAUCCCGCUGGGCAGAGUGAGCCGGGCUGAGC